rnacentral:rRNA from 1 species
UACGGGGGGAGCAAGCGUUGUUCGGAUUUACUGGGCGUAAAGGGCGCGUAGGCGGUCAGCACAAGUCAGUUGUGAAAUCUCCGGGCUUAACUCGGAAAGGUCAACUGAUACUGUGCGACUAGAGUGCGGAAGGGGCAACUGGAAUUCUCGGUGUAGCGGUGAAAUGCGUAGAUAUCAAGAGGAACACCUGAGGUGAAGACGGGUUGCUGGGCUGACACUGACGCUGAGGCGCGAAAGCUAGGGUAACAAACGGG